rnacentral:rRNA from 1 species
UACGUAGGGGGCAAGCGUUGUCCGGAUUUAUUGGGCGUAAAGAGCGUGUAGGCGGCCAGGUAGGUCUGCUGUGAAAACUCGAGGCUCAACCUCGAGAUGUCGGCGGAAACCAUCUGGCUAGAGUCCGGAAGAGGAGAAUGGAAUUCCCGGUGUAGCGGUGAAAUGCGUAGAGAUCUGGAAGAACACCAAAGGCGAAGGCAGCAUUCUGGCUCGUAACUGACGCUCAUGUGCGAAAGCUAGGGGAGCGAACGGG